GAGUUUGAUCCUGGCUCAGAUUGAACGCUGGCGGCGUGCCUAACACAUGCAAGUCGUGGGGCAGCAGGGUUGUAGCAAUACAAUCGCUGGCGACCGGCAAACGGGUGCGGAACACGUACACAACCUUCCUUUAAGUGGGGAUAGCCCACGGGAAACGUUGGAUUAAUACCCGUACUAUAUAGAGACGGCAUCGUUCUUAUAUUAUAGCAGCAAUGCGCUUGAAGAUGGGUGUGCGGCUGAUUAGAUAGUUGGCGGGGUAACGGCCCACCAAGUCGACGAUCAGUAACUGGUGUGAGAGCACGACCAGUCACACGGGCACUGAGACACGGGCCCGACUCCUACGGGAGGCAGCAGUAAGGAAUAUUGGUCAAUGGACGCAAGUCUGAACCAGCCAUGCCGCGUGGAGGAUGAAGGUCCUCUGGAUUGUAAACUUCUUUUAUCUGGGGAAGAAAUCCACUUUUUCUAGGGUGGUUGACGGUACCAGAUGAAUAAGCACCGGCUAACUCCGUGCCAGCCGCC
rnacentral:rRNA from 1 species